rnacentral:rRNA from 1 species
GACGAACGCUGGCGGCGUGCUUAACACAUGCCAGUCGAACGGAAAGGCCCUGCUUUUGUGGGGUGCUCGAUUGGCGAACGGGUGAGUAACACGUGAGUAACCUGCCCUUGACUUUGGGAUAACUUCAGGAAACUGGGGCUAAUACCGGAUAGGAGCUCCUGCUGCAUGGUGGGGGUUGGAAAGUUUCGGCGGUUGGGGAUGGACUCGCGGCUUAUCAGCUUGUUUGUUGGGUAGUGGCUUACCAAGGCUUUGACGGGUAGCCGGACUGAGAGGGUGACCGGGGAAAUGGGGACUGAGAGAGGGCACAGAAGGAAACGGGAGGCAGCAGUGGGGAAUAUUGCAGAAUGGGCGGAAGCCUGAUGCAGAAACGCAGCGGGCGGGAUGACGGCCUUCGGGUUGUAAACCGAUUUAGAAUGUGACGAAGCGUGAGUGACGGUAAUGGGUAAAGAAGCACCGGCUAACUACGUG